rnacentral:misc_RNA from 1 species
GAUGAAGAACGUAGCGAAAUGCGAUACGUAGUGUGAAUUGCAGAAUUCAGUGAAUCAUCGAAUCUUUGAACGCACAUUGCACCUCUCGGUAUUCCGGGAGGUAUGCCUGUUCGAGCGUCAUUUGUACCCCCAAGCUCUGCUUGGUGUUGGGUGUUUGUUCCGCCUCUGUGUGUGAACUCGCCUCAAAACAAUUGGCAGCCGGCGUACUUGUUUCGGAGCGCAGCACAUUUUGCGAUCCAGAUCAACGUACAGCGGCAUCCAAGAAGCCUUAUUUAACGCUCUUGACCUCGGAUCAGGUAGGGAUACCCGCUGAACUUAAGCAUAUCAAUAAGCGGAGGA